rnacentral:lncRNA from 1 species
AGAGUAGAUGUUGUAUAGGGUGAGGUUUUGGAGAGCAUAUGAUAUAUUUACAUUUUGGAAAAGAAUGCAAGUUGUAUUAAAUGAUUAAAGUUUUAAUGAUAUCGAAAGAGGUUAAAUGUCUCAAAUAGUUAAGUUUCUCUCUUUUGAAUACUUGUAUACUGUUUACUUAUAUCGCUUGCUCUUGUUGAUAUAUUGCACUGUUUGUGCUCUCGAUUAUCAUUGUUUGAUUGUAUAUGAAUUCAAGUCGUAUUCCUGGG